rnacentral:rRNA from 1 species
GACGAACGCUGGCGGCGUGCUUAACACAUGCAAGUCGAACGGUGAAGGGAUCAGCUUGCUGGUUCUGGAUGAGUGGCGAACGGGUGAGUAACACGUGAGUAACCUGCCCCCUUCUUCUGGAUAACCGCAUGAAAGUGUGGCUAAUACGGGAUAUUCUGGGUCUGUCGCAUGAUGGGUCUGGGAAAGAUAUUGUUUCGGUGGGGGAUGGGCUCGCGGCCUAUCAGCUUGUUGGUGGGGUGAUGGCCUACCAAGGCGGUGACGGGUAGCCGGCCUGAGAGGGUGGACGGUCACACUGGGACUGAGACACGGCCCAGACUCCUACGGGAGGCAGCAGUGGGGAAUAUUGCACGAUGAGCGCUAGCCUAAUGCAGCGACGCCGCGUGAGGGAUGGAGGGCUUCGGGUUGUAAACCUCUUUCGCCAGUGAAGCAGGCCUGCUCCUUGUGGGUGGGUUGACGGUAGCUGGAUAAGAAGCGCCGGCUAACUACGUG